rnacentral:rRNA from 1 species
AGAGUUUGAUCAUGGCUCAGGAUAAACGCUGGCGGCGUGCCUAACACAUGCAAGUCGAACGCCCUUUGGUUUCGGUCAGAGGGAGUGGCGGACGGGUGAGUAACACGUGGGUAACCUACCCUGAGGUGAGGAAUACCGGCGAGAAAUCGCCGACAAGACCGCAUACGUUUCGCAAGAAGCAAAGCCCUGCAAGGGGUGCCACAGGAUGGGCCUGCGGCCGAUUAGCUGGUUGGUGAGGUAAAGGCUCACCAAGGCGACGAUCGGUAGCUGGUCUGAGAGGAUGAUCAGCCACACUGGGAUUGAGAACGGCCCAGACUCUUACGGGGGGCAGCAGUGAGGAAUUUUCGGCAAUGGGCGCAAGCCUGACCGAGCAACGCCGCGUGCAGGAGGACGGCCUUCGGGUUGUAAACUGCUUUUCUUGGGGACGAGCAAGGACGGUACCCGAGGAAGAAGCCCCGGCUAACUACGUGCCAGCAGCCGCGGUAAUACGUAGGGGGCAAGCGUUGUCCGGAGUUACUGGGCGUAAAGCGCACGCAGGCGGUUUUCUACGUUCAAAGUGACAGUCUCCGGCUUAACUGGAGAAGUGGUUUGAAAACGGGGAAACUUGAGGGCCAGAGAGGGACACGGAACUCCGGGUGGAGCGGUGAAAUGCGUAGAGAUCCGGAAGAACCCAAAGGCGAAGGCAGUGUCCUGGCUGGUUCCUGACGCUCAGGUGCGAAAGCUAGGGGAGCAAACAGGAUUAGAUACCCUAGUAGUCC